UACGUAGGGGGCAAGCGUUGUCCGGAUUUAUUGGGCGUAAAGAGCGUGUAGGCGGCCAGGUAGGUCCGUUGUGAAAACUCGAGGCUCAACCUCGAGACGCCGAUGGAAACCAUCUGGCUAGAGUCCGGAAGAGGAGAGUGGAAUUCCCGGUGUAGCGGUGAAAUGCGCAGAUAUCGGGAAGAACACCCGUGGCUAAGGCGGUUCUCUAGUACGGUACUGACGCUGAGACGCGAAAGCGUGGGGAGCGAACAGG
rnacentral:rRNA from 1 species